UGUUAGUUUCAUCCGUAAAUUAUGUCAGUAAACUGAUUUAUUAGAAAUGAUUCAUGAAUUCAGUCAUUCAUUGAUGGUUUGAUUGUCUGAUUGAUUAAUACACUUCGUUGACAUAUCAAACUACAGGGGCAGCCAUGACAGGAAGGUUGAUGCUUGGCAUUGUUGCGUCACAAUACAAAAUGCCUCUGAUGACGUAAUGAUCAAACACCAAGCUGCCACUGGUGUAAUGACGGAUUAUUAGCUGAUUGAACUACGAGGUGAACGAAUUGAAUUGUGCUGAAAGCCACUUCCUAUUCCAGGUAUUCAAGACUAGAAGGAGCAUUCUGAUAAGAACACUGCAGACCAGUGAAUGAUGAAUAGGAGGCCCAACCUGAAUGGGUCUGGAGGACCAAGGUCCAUCGGUGUUCCACUACUCUGUCCUUCUAACAGAGUGCUGCUGGAGAGAGAAGAGGUCAGCCAGGACCCAGUGAUGGCCUCCUCUUUCAGGCCCUCAGCGUUCCCCUCCCUGCAUGUUGUGCCUCGGCCUCCCCCUCCUGACGACGUCUGGUCCAAGAGGCCCACAGCUGCCCACAGAAAGAGGAGAGACCUCCAGUCCCUAGUUCCUGUCCAGGAUGGAUGUCGUGAGUCUCCCGGUUGGAUUAA